ACACUCCAUGCCCAGUAGCGGCGAGUGAAGCGGCAAGAGCUCAGAUUUGAAAUCGUGUUUCGGCACGAGUUGUAGAGUGUAGGCGGGAGUCUCUGUGGAGCGCGGUGUCCAAGUCCCUUGGAACAGGGUGCCUGAGAGGGUGAGAGCCCCGUAGGGUGCUGCGCGAAGCUUUUGAGGCCCUGCUGACGAGUCGAGUUGUUUGGGAAUGCAGCUCCAAGCGGGUGGUAAAUUCCAUCUAAGGCUAAAUAUUGGCGAGAGACCGAUAGCGAACAAGUACUGUGAAGGAAAGAUGAAAAGCACUUUGAAAAGAGAGUGAAACAGCACGUGAAAUUGUUGAAAGGGAAGGGUAUUGGGCUCGACAUGGGGGGUGCGCACCGCUGUCUCUUGUAGGCGGCGCUCUGGGCGCCCUCUGGGCCAGCAUCGGUUCCUGCUGCGGGAGAAGGGGCUCCGGAAAGUGGCUCUUCGGAGUGUUAUAGCCGGGGCCAGAUGCCGCGUGUGGGGACCGAGGACUGCGGCUUCUGUCUCGGAUGCUGGCAUAACGGCGCAAUACCGCCCGUCUAAAA
rnacentral:rRNA from 1 species